GAAAUGCGAUAAGUAAUGUGAAUUGCAGAAUUCCGUGAAUCAUCGAAUCUUUGAACGCACAUUGCGCCCUCUGGUAUUCCCGGGGGCAUGCCUGUCCGAGCGUCAUUGCGAACCCCUCAAGCACGGCUUGUGUGAUGGGCCCUCCCGCGUCUUGGUCGUCAAGACGGGCCCGAAAAGCAGUGGCGGCUUCGUGGUUAUCCGAUCAGCCAGAGCGUAUGGGGACUUUCUCUCUGUCACACGCCCGCGGCGCGGACCGACGCCUGUCGACCUUUAUUCAUCUUUUUCUCGGUUGACCUCGGAUCAGGUAGGGAUACCCGCUGAACUUAAGC
rnacentral:misc_RNA from 1 species